AAUGACAACAACAACGAAUAUGUUAUUCCAAACUAAUCAGCGUUCAUCGUAGACAUUGAAAUACAAACAAGUCCAGAAAUGAAAACAAAUGAAGACAAAUCUUGACUGCGUCAACUUAAGUGUUUAGAGUUUCUGUAUCAAAAGUAAAGACACGUUUUAUAUAUGAUAACUGAUUCAGAUUACAAAAAUCUGAGGUUUCGAUUAAGUAAGAUUUUACUUUUCCUAUACAUAGAAGUAUUCAACAUAAUGCUCUUGAAAUGAUUAUUAAUUAUAAGCAUUUGAAAGUGCAUUAUAUAUUAUCUCAAAUUUUCUAACAUAUUCAAACUAAGUUACCUCUGCUUAUCAAUUCCAAACUUAUUCACUUUACUAAUCAAUUUAUAGGUUUAAAAAAUAAAUACGUUCAGCAAACAUGCGAUAUCUGACAAAUAUUGUAACAUGCUUAACAAUUGCGUACAUAAUUUAUGUAGUUUUUCAGAUACUAUAUGUGCCUUACUAUAUGCUGCAAUGCAGCGGCUGUGAUAGCAAUAGGAAUUUGGUAACGAAAUGUAUGCAAGAGCCGAGGCGCUGUCUGUCAACCUACAAAGAAUGUCGGCCUUUGUGCGUACAAUUACGAAAAUAAAAGAAUAUUACAAUUGUGUAUAUGAAAUAGAUGGAGAAAUUGCAAAUGAGAUAUUCAAAAUAUUUGUCUAUGAACUUUAGCGGAAUACCAAAUAUUUCUGUGCUAUAGAAUUAUAAUUUAAAUUUUAUGAAAUAUAAUAUAUAUUUGUUUUAAACCAAA